UAAUAUCAAAUAAACAUCAUUAAUUAGAUUUUCACUUAAUCAAAAUAAGAAUUCUGUAAUAUAAUUUGCCACAUUCAGAUUGAAUUGGUGACCUUUUAAGUGCAACAAAAGUACAAUUAUCAAUAGAUAUCGACGAGAAUCUCACCUGCGGAAUUAAUUGUGAAGCACAAGUCUAAUUUAUCAUAGCAAGGAGAUAAUUGAAAGAGUUAUGACUAUUAUGAAAACAAAAAUGAAAUGAACUAGAGGCAACAGAUCUCUUUCCCUACAAGGAACUGAAGCACUGGUCAUGUGCUUGAGGACUGCACCACCUCGGAAAUACACCUGCAAAGCCUUAUAAUCCUUGAAUACCCAACUCUAAGACCAUCAACUGCAGCUUUUAUUUUAGCUGAUAGUGACUCAGGCAGUGAGAUGUAUGUCCCAGAAACGGAAGCUUGUAGCUGACAUGGAAAGAUGUCUGAAGGAUAUAUCCCA
rnacentral:misc_RNA from 1 species